UAAGGGAUAUUGCGCAAUGGGCGAAAGCCUGACGCAGCAACACCGCGUGGAGGAUGAAGGCCUUCGGGUCGUAAACUCGUUUUGACGCUGACGAGGAAGGACGGUAGGCGUCGAAGAAGUCACGGCUAACUACGUGCCAGCAGCCGCGGUAAAACGUAGGUGGCGAGCGUUAUCCGGAUUUACUGGGCGUAAAGGGUGUGCAGGCGGGCCAUUAAGUGGUGUAUGAAAUAUCCCGGCUCAACCGGGAGAGGUUAUGCCAGACUGAUGGUCUAGAGAGCGAGAGAGGGACGUGGAAUUCCGGGUGUAGUGGUGAAAUGCGUAGAGAUCCGGAGGAACCCCAGAGGCGAAGGCGGCGUCCUGGCUCGCAUCUGACGCUCAGACACGACAGCAUGGGGAGCGAACGGGAUUAGAUACCCCCGUAGUCC
rnacentral:rRNA from 1 species